GCAGUAGCCGCGGGAACACGUAGGUGGCAAGCGUUGUCCGGAAUUAUUGGGCGUAAAGGGCUCGCAGGCGGUUUCUUAAGUCUGAUGUGAAAGCCCCCGGCUCAACCGGGGAGGGUCAUUGGAAACUGGGAAACUUGAGUGCAGAAGAGGAGAGUGGAAUUCCACGUGUAGCGGUGAAAUGCGUAGAGAUGUGGAGGAACACCAGUGGCGAAGGCGACUCUCUGGUCUGUAACUGACGCUGAGGAGCGAAAGCGUGGGGAGCGAACAGGAUUAGAUACCCGCGUAGUCCCUGUCUCUUAUAC
rnacentral:rRNA from 1 species